rnacentral:sRNA from 1 species
UCCUAGCCCUGAUAGAAGCGGAAAUCCUUUUGUGACGCUUCUUUAGCGGAACAAAAGAUUGUAGCGGAUAGCAGGAUUAGCU